GGACCAUCCUCCAAGGCUAAAUACUCCUGACUGACCGAUAGUGAACCAGUACCGUGAGGGAAAGGCGAAAAGAACCCCGGCGAGGGGAGUGAAAAAGAACCUGAAACCGUGUACGUACAAGCAGUGGGAGCCUCUUUUAUGGGGUGACUGCGUACCUUUUGUAUAAUGGGUCAGCGACUUAUAUUCUGUAGCAAGGUUAACCGAAUAGGGGAGCCGAAGGGAAACCGAGUCUUAACUGGGCGUUAAGUUGCAGGGUAUAGACCCGAAACCCGGUGAUCUAGCCAUGGGCAGGUUGAAGGUUGGGUAACACUAACUGGAGGACCGAACCGACUAAUGUUGAAAAAUUAGCGGAUGACUUGUGGCUGGGGGUGAAAGGCCAAUCAAACCGGGAGAUAGCUGGUUCUCCCCGAAAGCUAUUUAGGUAGCGCCUCGUGAAUUCAUCUCCGGGGGUAGAGCACUGUUUCGGCAAGGGGGUCAUCCCGACUUACCAACCCGAUGCAAACUGCGAAUACCGGAGAAUGUUAUCACGGGAGACACACGGCGGGUGCUAACGUCCGUCGUGAAGAGGGAAACAACCCAGACCGCCAGCUAAGGUCCCAAAGUCAUGGUUAAGUGGGAAACGAUGUGGGAAGGCCCAGACAGCCAGGAUGUUGGCUUAGAAGCAGCCAUCAUUUAAAGAAAGCGUAAUAGCUCACUGGUCGAGUCGGCCUGCGCGGAAGAUGUAACGGGGCUAAACCAUGCACCGAAGCUGCGGCAGCGACGCUGAUGCGUUGUUGGGUAGGGGAGCGUUCUGUAAGCCUGUGAAGGUGUGCUGUGAGGCAUGCUGGAGGUAUCAGAAGUGCGAAUGCUGACAUAAGUAACGAUAAAGCGGGUGAAAAGCCCGCUCGCCGGAAGACCAAGGGUUCCUGUCCAACGUUAAUCGGGGCAGGGUGAGUCGACCCCUAAGGCGAGGCCGAAAGGCGUAGUCGAUGGGAAACAGGUUAAUAUUCCUGUACUUGGUGUUACUGCGAAGGGGGGACGGAGAAGGCUAUGUUGGCCGGGCGACGGUUGUCCCGGUUUAAGCGUGUAGGCUGGUUUUCCAGGCAAAUCCGGAAAAUCAAGGCUGAGGCGUGAUGACGAGGCACUACGGUGCUGAAGCAACAAAUGCCCUGCUUCCAGGAAAAGCCUCUAAGCAUCAGGUAACAUCAAAUCGUACCCCAAACCGACACAGGUGGUCAGGUAGAGAAUACCAAGGCGCUUGAGAGAACUCGGGUGAAGGAACUAGGCAAAAUGGUGCCGUAACUUCGGGAGAAGG
rnacentral:rRNA from 1 species